rnacentral:rRNA from 1 species
UACGUAGGGGGCGAGCGUUGUCCGGAUUCAUUGGGCGUAAAGAGCUCGUAGGCGGUUUGGCAAGUCGGGUGUGAAAUCUCUGGGCUCAACUCAGAGAGGCCACUCGAUACUGCUAUGACUAGAGUCCGGUAGGGGACCAUGGAAUUCCUGGUGUAGCGGUGAAAUGCGCAGAUAUCAGGAGGAACACCGGUGGCGAAGGCGGUGGUCUGGGCCGAUACUGACGCUGAGGAGCGAAAACGUGGGGAGCGAACAGG